GACGUAGGGCGCGAGCGUUGUCCGGAUUUAUUGGGCGUAAAGAGCUCGUAGGCGGCUUGUUACGUCGUUCGUGAAAACUUGGGGCUCAACCCCAAGCUUGCGGUCGAUACGGGCAGGCUAGAGUUCGGUAGGGGAGACUGGAAUUCCUGGUGUAGCGGUGAAAUGCGCAGAUAUCAGGAGGAACACCGAUGGCGAAGGCAGGUCUCUGGGCCGAUACUGACGCUGAGGAGCGAAAGCGUGGGGAGCGAACGGG
rnacentral:rRNA from 1 species